rnacentral:rRNA from 1 species
GAUGAACGCUGGCGGCGUGCCUAAUACAUGCAAGUCGAACGAGUUCUCGUUGAUGAUCGGUGCUUGCACCGAGAUUCAACAUGGAACGAGUGGCGGACGGGUGAGUAACACGUGGGUAACCUGCCCUUAAGUGGGGGAUAACAUUUGGAAACAGAUGCUAAUACCGCAUAGAUCCAAGAACCGCAUGGUUCUUGGCUGAAAGAUGGCGUAAGCUAUCGCUUUUGGAUGGACCCGCGGCGUAUUAGCUAGUUGGUGAGGUAACGGCUCACCAAGGCGAUGAUACGUAGCCGAACUGAGAGGUUGAUCGGCCACAUUGGGACUGAGACACGGCCCAAACUCCUACGGGAGGCAGCAGUAGGGAAUCUUCCACAAUGGACGCAAGUCUGAUUGAGCAACGCCGCGUGGGUGAAGAAGGCUUUCGGGUCGUAAAACUCUGUUGUUGGAGAAGAAUGGUCGGCAGAGUAACUGUUGUCGGCGUGACGGUAUCCAACCAGAAAGCCACGGCUAACUACGUGCCAGCAGCCGCGGUAAUACGUAGGUGGCAAGCGUUAUCCGGAUUUAUUGGGCGUAAAGCGAGCGCAGGCGGUUUUUUAAGACUGAUGUGAAAGCCCUCGGCUUAACCGAGGAAGCGCAUCGGAAACUGGGAAACUUGAGUGCAGAAGAGGACAGUGGAACUCCAUGUGUAGCGGUGAAAUGCGUAGAUAUAUGGAAGAACACCAGUGGCGAAGGCGGCUGUCUGGUCUGUAACUGACGCUGAGGCUCGAAAGCAUGGGUAGCGAACAGGAUUAGAUACCCUGGUAGUCCAUGCCGUAAACGAUGAAUGCUAGGUGUUGGAGGGUUUCCGCCCUUCAGUGCCGCAGCUAACGCAUUAAGCAUUCCGCCUGGGGAGUACGACCGCAAGGUUGAAACUCAAAGGAAUUGACGGGGGCCCGCACAAGCGGUGGAGCAUGUGGUUUAAUUCGAAGCAACGCGAAGAACCUUACCAGGUCUUGACAUCUUUUGAUCACCUGAGAGAUCAGGUUUCCCCUUCGGGGGCAAAAUGACAGGUGGUGCAUGGUUGUCGUCAGCUCGUGUCGUGAGAUGUUGGGUUAAGUCCCGCAACGAGCGCAACCCUUAUGACUAGUUGCCAGCAUUUAGUUGGGCACUCUAGUAAGACUGCCGGUGACAAACCGGAGGAAGGUGGGGAUGACGUCAAAUCAUCAUGCCCCUUAUGACCUGGGCUACACACGUGCUACAAUGGAUGGUACAACGAGUUGCGAGACCGCGAGGUCAAGCUAAUCUCUUAAAGCCAUUCUCAGUUCGGACUGUAGGCUGCAACUCGCCUACACGAAGUCGGAAUCGCUAGUAAUCGCGGAUCAGCACGCCGCGGUGAAUACGUUCCCGGGCCUUGUACACACCGCCCGUCACACCAUGAGAGUUUGUAACACCCGAAGCCGGUGGCGUAACCCUUUUAGGGAGCGAGCCGUCUAAGGUGGGACAAAUGAUUAGGGUG